CAGUCGCCACGGUAAUACGUAGGUGGCAAGCGUUGUCCGGAAUUAUUGGGCGUAAAGCGCGCGCAGGUGGUUUAAUAAGUCUGAUGUGAAAGCCCACGGCUCAACCGUGGAGGGUCAUUGGAAACUGUUAAACUUGAGUGCAGGAGAGAAAAGUGGAAUUCCUAGUGUAGCGGUGAAAUGCGUAGAGAUUAGGAGGAACACCAGUGGCGAAGGCGGCUUUUUGGCCUGUAACUGACACUGAGGCGCGAAAGCGUGGGGAGCAAACAGGAUUAGAUACCCGCGUAGUCCCUGUCUCUUAUAC
rnacentral:rRNA from 1 species